GCCAGACUCCUACGGGAGGCAGCAGUGAGGAAUAUUGGUCAAUGGACGAGAGUCUGAACCAGCCAAGUAGCGUGAAGGAUGACUGCCCUAUGGGUUGUAAACUUCUUUUAUAUGGGAAUAAAAUGUUCCACGUGUGGGAUUUUGUAUGUACCAUAUGAAUAAGGAUCGGCUAACUCCGUGCCAGCAGCCGCGGUAAUACGGAGGAUCCGAGCGUUAUCCGGAUUUAUUGGGUUUAAAGGGUGCGUAGGCGGGCUGUUAAGUCAGCGGUCAAAUGUCGGGGCUCAACCCCGGCCUGCCGUUGAAACUGGCGGCCUCGAGUGGGCGAGAAGUAUGCGGAAUGCGUGGUGUAGCGGUGAAAUGCAUAGAUAUCGCGCAGAACUCCGAUUGCGAAGGCAGCAUGCCGGCUCCACACUGACGCUGAGGCACGAAAGCGUGGGUAUCGAACAGGAUUAGAUACCCUGGUAGUU
rnacentral:rRNA from 1 species